rnacentral:SRP_RNA from 1 species
GCAGACAAGCCAGCGAGCUAGCCCCUCGCAAUUCACAAACGGGCUUUAUGGUGGGCUUAAAGGAGUGCGUGAGGCAGAAGUUUGUUAGUCUCUAGCUGGACGUUGAAGUUUUGUCCUGCUCGAUCGCACUCUUAUGAAAUGGGUCAGGCCUUGAUCGGAGCAGCCCUAAGUAAGAAUUGCGGUGCUUGUAGGGUUGCAGAACUGAGAAAAGCAAGAGGGUGCUGGCAUUCUGAAACCGAGCAAUCUCCCCGUCUGC